GAGACCCUUCUGGGGCAAGACUUGCUUCAGUGGGGCUUUGGUGCUCACUGAGUCUGCCCCCUGAUUCUGUCCCU
rnacentral:pre_miRNA from 1 species